rnacentral:hammerhead_ribozyme from 1 species
AUACAGCUGACGAGUCCCAAAUGGGAUGAAACGAGAGUCCUGGAU